GACGAACGCUGGCGGCGUGCUUAACACAUGCAAGUCGAACGGAAAGGCCCUGCUUUUGUGGGGUGCUCGAGUGGCGAACGGGUGAGUAACACGUGAGUAACCUGCCCUUGACUUUGGGAUAACUUCAGGAAACUGGGGCUCAUACCGGAUAGGAGCUCCUGCUGCAUGGUGGGGGUUGGAAAGUUUCGGCGGUUGGGGAUGGACUCGCGGCUUAUCAGCUUGUUGGUGGGGUAGUGGCUUACCAAGGCUUUGACGGGUAGCCGGCCUGAGAGGGUGACCGGCCACAUUGGGACUGAGAUGCGGCCCAGACUCCUCCGGGAGGCAGCAGUGGGGAAUAUUGCACUAUGGGCGGAAGCCUGAUGCAGCCAAGCCGCGUGCGGGAUGACGGCCUUCGGGUUGGAAACCGCUUUCGCCUGUGACGAAGCGUGAAUGACGGUAAUGGGUAAAGAAGCACCGGCUAACUACGUG
rnacentral:rRNA from 1 species